UACAGAAGCGUGCAAGCGUUAACGAUCUUUACUGGGCGUAAAGCGUACGUAGACUGAUACUAAGUGGAAAGACCAAGUUGUUAAUUACUGCGGAGAAGGGUAGGCAUUCUUGGUAGCGGAGUAUCUUGAGAUGGGUGUGGGUUAAUAGAAUGUCUAAGGGAUUUGAUUUAGUAAAUUUAUGAUCUUAUGAGGACUACCAAUCGCGAAGGCGUUAACCGAUUCUAUUCUGAACGUUCGAGGUAACGAAAGUUGAGGUAGCAAAAGGG
rnacentral:rRNA from 1 species